CCAACCUUUCUUUCGAAUAAAUCAUAGCACUACCUCACUAGUCUGAAAGCAACUGGAACAUUCUGGAAGCUUUUUUUUUGCGGUUGCAGACACUGUCUACUUCAAGUUCAUGAUUUGCUUAGCGACAGAAGAGAAGGUUGAGGGACAAGUGACCCCCCCCCCCCCCCCCCCUUACGACUGCCAAAAUCAUCUACCAGGCUCCUCCCUGUUAAUGGGCUGGUUUGGAUUUCUUCUUUUAGGUCCUUGUCUGUUUCUCAGGAUGUGGGGAGUCUUUCAGGCACUCUUGAGAUCAGACCUAAGAGCUGAAUGCCCCGUAUCCCACACCCCAUCCCUCACACACACACACACACACUCACCGGACAGACCUGACACCAGCAUCAGGAUGUUGGUUAUUCUGAGGGGAAGCUCCCCAACUUCAGCCUUGAUCCGGACAAAGGCAGUCCUGCAGGAGAUGAGGUCCAACAUCUACAGCAAGCCGCCCAAAAACAAGAUUGGACCAGGGCAAAGCUUCUUCAUCAUGUCAGUGUUUGCUGUCGCCAUGCUGGUCCCAGCGGGCUGGAUCAUGCAUCACCUCCCAGAGUACCGUCAAAGACCACAUCCUCCUAAAUCCUGAAGGCCCCUCAGCUUGCUUACACACACCGCCCACAAGCCACACGUCUGGAUCUCAUGUAUUAGCCACCAUGCCAUCAGUCCACCCUCCUGUGUAAUUUGUAACAGCAAACAAAAAACUGCCAAAAACUGAACACAUUAGCCACUAGUUCUCACUUAAACGAUGAAAGAACCAUUAACGAACGUAUUCAAAUGACAGCAUAUAUCAUCUCAUUCAUCUGUACGUAAAUAUUCUUAUAGCAUGGUGUCAAAUACCUCUGAAAAAUGGCCCUUAACGUCGCUGCAGCAUCCAUAUGCAAUGACACGUUUGUAAAACUGUCAACUCACUGCCAUGAUCAAUAAAUGAAAGUAGUGUUGG